UCCAGUAAAGCAUGUGAUGAGUAUAGAGGAGUUCGAGUCUUCUAUUUUGCAGCUAGGGUUUCAGUUUAUAGAAGAUUCUUGCCGAUGGCGAUUACAGGCAGCUUUUAUGUUCAUAUUAUCCAUGGCUGGUUGCGGGCAGGGAAGCGUGGAGGGUGGCUGCCGGAGCUUGGCGUGAGUUCUUGUGAUGGCAUGGUGAGGUGAGAAAGCUUUGUUCCUUCUUUUUGUUCUCUAUCCUUGUUCCAGUAUUGAUUGUUUUUACACUCGUUGUGACAAUCCAUGUAUAUUCUUUUCCCUACAUUGUCAAAUUUUUGGUUAAACUGCUCUGUACAAUAACAUACUGAUUUGCUGCAGGAAAGGCUGAUAUUGCAUUCCCCGAUUUAUCUCCAACAGCAAAUACAUUGUUACAUCUUUCCAAAUCAUGAAAUCUAAGCGGCAAACAUUGGAAAACAAAUGGGUGGCUUUGUAUUUUUGAAAGCUGGACGCACAUCUAAUUUAUUGAUGUACACUAGACCAUAUUUAAGAAUUUGAUUACCCAUUCAUGCAUUAAUAUUUUGAAAGUGUGUCAACCUGUCCUUCUAAUUCGGGUAUGAUGCAUGAACAGGGCGGUUAGUGGUGGCGUGACGGUGCUGCACCUGUUGUGAGCUCUCUUUCUCUCUCUCUCUCUCUCUCUCUCUCUCUCUCUCUCUCUCUCUCUCUCUCCUUCGAUUUCUUUUAUACUACACGUGGCAUUUACUUGCAGUUGAUUAGAAUUUUGUCAUGUAUAUAUGACUUUGUCAAUGUCUUCAGGUAUAAGAAUCAUCCAUUUGCCUCACGUAUUUUUAUUUUUGGAAAACAGAUCACUGGAUAUUUGGGUAUUCCGCUCAUCUUGACAUAUAGAGUAUUUGGAGCAGUACCGUACUUGACUUGACAUGCAUAUCUGUAUUUACUUUAUUUGAUGUAGAUUCCAACUCAAUCCAUAUUACUAGAGAUGACCUUCUACUUGCAUUUACUGAUAUGAAUAUAUGUCCUAUCAUUCUUUUACCUAUUUUAUUUGCUCUAUAUAAUUCAUUGAUAAUAUUAUAUUAGUAUACUGAAAUAAAAGUGUUGCUGGGAGAUUAAGAAAAUCAUAAUUUUUACUUAAUGCGAACCUUUUGCAUCGCUGCUUAUUUGCAUCUGCAGAGUUCAGAAGUGGCUGCAUGAGGUGAGGCCGAGACCCUCUUGUUCUUAUUUCGGUUUUAUCUUUCUGUAGGAUUCUCAUGGUAGAUUACUUAUUGUGUAGGUGUGUGGUAUUUUGGUUUUUCCCGAGAGCAGAAUGUGACCAUUGGUGUAAUAGACCCUUCUUAUUCUUACUUACAUGCACCGGUUGCAUCGCUGCUUAUUUGCAUCUGCACUCCCUGUUAUAAUGUUUUGCUAGAAACUGACUAGAUGUGCAGCACAUUCUUCAUUGUUAUUCUUACUUUCCCUUUUGCUGGGAACCAAAAGAAGACCGUUGCCUGUUCGGUCUCAUUCUUCACUGCAAUUGCAAAGGUAUAAUUCAUUUUGGUUUA